UUCGGAAUUUCUAAAUAUCUUCUAGCAGUUUUUUUUGUUUCUGUUAUCUUCCACUUUUAUAUGGUGGAGAUGUUUGUUAAGAUUCCUGCUCACUCGUAACAUUUCCGGAUUUCCCCUUUGCUUUCUGUGUUGUGGGCCGUUGUCUGUCUGCCUCAUUUCAAUUUGGGACUGUGACUGUCGUGGUUCUCGGUGCUGUUGACGGUGGGCGUGGCCUUGCCGGCGGCGGUGACGGCUUUGUCCGCGGUGGUGGCGGCCGCCUGUUGCAGCUGCGCGGUCCUCCCUGCUCCGCACCCCUCGACGCCCUGCUCUCGCACUCUCCCUCCCGGGCGCGUAGUCUGUCGCUGUCGUGCCACGGUCACCCUCUUCGCCGCCCCUCGUCCGCCCACAGGUAAAGCAGGUUAGUAGCACAUAAAUCUUGUGGUAUGUGCAUAUCCAUUUCAUGAUCUAGAGAAGCAAUUUCAACUUAUCUCAUACAUGUUUAGUGAUUCAAGUACAAUUUUCAGUUCAGUUUAGCAUGUGUCUUGGGUCUUAUGUGCUAGAUCUGUUUUAAGCUAAGCGUGGGAGUUUGAGUUCAGGUCUGGAUUCCUAUCGCUACUGGUCUCUCUUUCUCCCUCUUUACAGACCUUCUCAGAUAAGGAGAUGAGCUAUUCGGUGACCCACUAUUUAUCCUGUCACCCAUAACUUAUUAUGUGGAUUGUCAAGGAUUGUCAAA